AACGAACGCUGGCGGCAUGCCUAACACAUGCAAGUCGAACGAGAUCUUCGGGUCUAGUGGCGCACGGGUGCGUAACGCGUGGGAAUCUGCCCUUUGGUUCGGAAUAACAGUUGGAAACGACUGCUAAUACCGGAUGAUGACGAAAGUCCAAAGAUUUAUCGCCAGAGGAUGAGCCCGCGUAGGAUUAGCUAGUUGGUGUGGUAAAGGCGCACCAAGGCGACGAUCCUUAGCUGGUCUGAGAGAACGAUCAGCCACACUGGGACUGAGACACGGCCCAGACUCCUGCGGGAGGCAGCAGUGGGGAAUAUUGGACAAUGGGCGAAAGCCUGAUCCAGCAAUGCCGCGUGAGUGAUGAAGGCCUUAGGGUUGUAAAGCUCUUUUACCCGGGAUGAUAAUGACAGUACCGGGAGAAUAAGCUCCGGCUAACUCCGUGCCAGCCGCCGCGGUAA
rnacentral:rRNA from 1 species